rnacentral:rRNA from 1 species
GACAGAGGAGGCGAGCGUUAUCCGGAGUUAUUGGGCGUAAAGGGUACGUAGGCGGCUGGUCAAGUCUGGGGUUAAAGACCACAGCUUAACUGUGGGGGUGCCUUGGAAACUGACCGGCUGGAGUGGGGCAGGGGUUGCGGUAAUUCCCGGUGUAGCGGUGAAAUGCGUAGAUAUCGGUAAGAACACCUGAGGCGAAAGCGCGCAACUGGGCUCUAACUGACGCUGAGGUACGAAAGCUAGGGGAGCGAAUGGG